UGGCUCAGAUUGAACGCUGGCGGCGUGCUUAACACAUGCAAGUCGAACGCGAAAGGGACUUCGGUCCUGAGUAAAAGUGGCGCACGGGUGAGUAACGCGUGGAUAAUCUGCCCUUAUGAUCGGGAUAACAGUUGGAAACGGCUGCUAAUACCGGAUACGCUCAAAAUGAACUUUUUGAGGAAAGAUGGCCUCUGCUUGCAUGCUAUCACGUAAGGAUGAGUCCGCGUCCCAUUAGCUUGUUGGCGGGUAACGGCCCACCAAGGCAACGAUGGGUAGCCGAUUUGAGAGGAUGAUCGGCCACACUGGAACUGAAACACGGUCCAGACUCCUACGGGAGGCAGCAGUGGGGAAUAUUGCGCAAUGGGCGAAAGCCUGACGCAGCGACGCCGCGUGAGGGAUGAAGGUUUUCGGAUCGUAAACCUCUGUCAGAAGGGAAGAAACUACGUUGUGCUAAUCAGCAGCGUACUGACGGUACCUUCAAAGGAAGCACCGGCUAACUCCGUGCCAGCCGCUGC
rnacentral:rRNA from 1 species